AGAUCAUGGUGAUGUCACAAUCAUGGAUCGCAAUGUCGCCUUCUGAUUUCCUGCGCGCAUUCCACCCUCUGCGCUUCCCUCUCCAAUUUGGACUCAAGGGUUUUACUACCCUGCUGGGGUUGGAUCUCUGAGCGCAGGAAAGAACAUCAGUAUUAGCAAGACUGCGGUGGUGCACACCUUUAAUCAUAGCACUUGAGAGGCAGAGGAAAUGGUGUCAUUCAGGGAUGUGGCCAUUGAUUUCUCUGCAGAGGAGUGUGAACUGCUGGACCCUGAUCAGUGGAAUUUGUACAGGGAUGUGAUGUUGGAGAAUUUCAACAACCUUGUGUUCCUGGGCCUUGCCUCCUCUAAGCCAUACCUGGUCACAUUUCUGGAGCAAAGACAAGAACUUUCAGAUAUGAAGAGACUAGGAGCAGCCGCCAUGGAAACAGG